ACCGGCAGCUCAAGUGUUGGCCAUUUUUAUUGGGCCUAAAGCGUUCGUAGCCGGUUUGAUAAGUCUCUGGUGAAAUCCCGCAGCUUAACUGUGGGACUUGCUGGAGAUACUAUUAGACUUGAGGUCGGGAGAGGUUACUGGUACUCCCAGUGUGUUUUGGAAAUCGUUUUUUUCUGGGAGGAUUACCAGAGGCGAAGGUGCGUAUUUGGAACGAUCCUGACGGUGAGUAACGAAAGUCAGGGGCGCGAACCG
rnacentral:rRNA from 1 species